rnacentral:rRNA from 1 species
GCAGUCGUACGAGAAUUUUUAAUUCUAGUGGCGGACGGGUGAGUAACACGUAAGAAUUUACCUUUAGGAGGGGGAUAUUAAAAUACCCCAUAUGCUUUCGAGUGAAAUGGAUUUCCGCCUAAAGAGAAGCUUGCGGCUGAUUAGCUUGUUGGUGAGGUAAUGGCUUACCAAGGCGACGAUCAGUAUCUGGUUUGAGAGGACGAUCAGACACACUGGAACUGAGACACGGUCCAGACUCCUACGGGAGGCAGCAGUGGGGAAUUUUCCGCAAUGGGCGAAAGCCUGACGGAGCAAUCUCGCGUGAGGGAUGACGGCCUAUGGGUUGUAAACCUCUUUUUUCAGGGAGGAAUCAAUGACGUGUACCUGAAGAAUAAGCAUCGGCUAACUCCGUGCCAGCAGCCGCGGUAAGACGGAGGAUGCAAGUGUUAUCCGGAAUCACUGGGCGUAAAGCGUCUGUAGGUGGUUUAAUAAGUCAACUGUUAAAUCUUGAAGCUUAACUUCAAAAUCGCAGUCGAAACUAUUAGACUAGAGUAUAGUAGGGGUAAAGGGAAUUUCCAGUGGAGCGGUGAAAUGCGUAGAGAUUGGAAAGAACACCGAU